AGGCCUCUUGCUUGCAAGGGGUACUCGAGUGGCGAACGGGUGAGUAACACGUGGGUGAUCUGCCUUGCACUCUGGGAUAAGCUUGGGAAACUGGGUCUAAUACCGGAUAGGAACCGUCUUUANUGUGGUGGUUGGAAAGUUUUUUCGGUGCAAGAUGAGCUCGCGGCCUAUCAGCUUGUUGGUGGGGGUAAUGGCCUACCAAGGCGUCGACGGGUAGCCGGCCUGAGAGGGUGUACGGCCACAUUGGGACUGAGAUACGGCCCAGACUCCUACGGGAGGCAGCAGUGGGGAAUAUUGCACAAUGGGCGGAAGCCUGAUGCAGCGACGCCGCGUGGGGGAUGACGGCCUUCGGGUUGUAAACUCCUUUCGACAGGGACGAAGCGUAAGUGACGGUACCUGUAUAAGAAGCACCGGCUAACUACGUGCCAGCAGCCGCGGUAAUACGUAGGGUGCGAGCGUUGUCCGGAAUUACUGGGCGUAAAGAGCUCGUAGGUGGUUUGUCGCGUCGUCUGUGAAAUUCCGGGGCUUAACUUCGGGCGUGCAGGCGAUACGGGCAUAACUUGAGUGCUGUAGGGGUAACUGGAAUUCCUGGUGUAGCGGUGAAAUGCGCAGAUAUCAGGAGGAACACCGAUGGCGAAGGCAGGUUACUGGGCAGUUACUGACGCUGAGGAGCGAAAGCAUGGGUAGCAACCAGG
rnacentral:rRNA from 1 species